rfam:Pan troglodytes isolate Yerkes chimp pedigree #C0471 (Clint) chromosome 12, whole genome shotgun sequence.
CGAUGUGAGAGAGAUCUCGCUGUGACAUCUGUCAUCCUACUGACUGCCAGGGUUGAUUCGGCUGAUCUGGCUCGCUAAGCAAGUGUCCCUUCCUCCCUCAUUGCUCCAUUUACGUCCCUCCUGAAGGUGUACAUUUGGUUGAAAGGACGACUAUCCACGACAGAGGACCGGCCUUUGGUCAAGGGUAUACGAGUAGCAGCACUCCCCUGCUAGAACCUCCAAAGAAGCUCUCAAAAAUAUUCAGGAAAAGAAAGUAAAAAAAAAAAAAAAAAAAAUACAAGAAUAAAAAAUAAUAAAAAUGU